rnacentral:lncRNA from 13 species
ACAGUCACCUUAGGAACGCUGGAGAAGACUUGCCAUGCGCAUGUGCAGAAGUGGAUAUCCCUGUUACCCCUGCCUAGGGGUGGCAUAUUCCAAUCCCCCCCCGCCCCAGCUUUUUAUGUUUUGAGCACAAUGGAGUAGAUGGUGCUUGAGGACAAGAACAACUCUCACAUCUUCAUUUUUGAUUGAUGCCUCCAUGCAUAAGAGUUCUGCAGCUGCAUGGCUGCUAUGGUCUGAAUGUGUCCUCCAAAGUUCAUUGUUGGAAACUUAAUCCCUGAUGCAACAGUGUCAAGAAGUGGGCAUUUAAAAAUUGAUUAGGCCAUGAGGGCUCUGUCUUCAUGAAUGGAUUAAUGUCAUUAUUGUGGGAGUAAGCUUGUUAUCUUGGGAGUGAGUUCCUGAUGACAGAAUGAGUCAUCCCCUUCUUCCCUGUUUGUCUCAUGCACGCUCUCUUGCUGUUUCACCUCUUGCCAUUGGAUGAUGCAGCCAGAAAGCCCUCACCAGAAGUGGGCCCCUUGACCUUGGACUUCCUAGUUUCAGAAUGCCUCUGGAUAGCCA